CUGACGUCCCGCGCGUCGGCGUCCGCGGAGCUUCGCGGGGAGCCAGACCGGCUGCCGAGGGGUAAGGCAUGGCGAGACCCAGCGCCACGAUCCCACGAGGUGGCGGAAAGCACUCGGCCGCGCAGAGACCGCCCCCUUGCCCAUAGCCGCCACGGGAUCCGGCCCCUCUGCGCUGCAGGGUAACCGCGGGGAGUUGGCCGUGCCCCUCGCGCCUGCGUCGAGGGCCCGCGGGGCGCUCGGGGAACCGAAGGGCCCUAACCGCGGGGCGCUCGGAGAAGGAGACGUUAGGCUGCCGCCGCCGCGAAGCUAAACGAAAGGAAGUUCUCGGUCACCGAUGGCCUUCUGGCAGGUGUGAAGAGAAAAAAUGACGCUCCAGUGGGCGGCAGUUGCAACCUUUCUUUAUGCUGAAAUAGGACUCAUUUUAAUCUUCUGUCUACCUUUUAUUCCUCCUCAGAGAUGGCAGAAGAUUUUUUCCUUUCAUGUCUGGGGUAAAAUUGCAACUUUUUGGAACAAGGCUUUCCUUACUAUUAUAGUCUUAUUGAUUGUUCUGUUUCUAGAUGCUGUGAGAGAAAUAAGAAAAUAUUCCUCUACUCAUGCUAUGGAGAAGAGCUCAACCAGCAGACCUAGUACCUAUGAACAUACACAGAUGAAACUUUUUCGGUCUCAAAGAAAUCUUUAUAUUUCUGGAUUUUCAUUAUUUUUUUGGCUAGUAUUGAGACGUCUUGUUACCCUUAUUACUCAACUGGCAAAAGAACUAUCAACCAAAAGAGUGCUUAAAACUCAAGCAGAGAAUACUAAUGAGGCUGCCAAAAAAUUCAUGCAAGAAAAUGAAAAACUAAAAGAGGUCUUGAAAAGCCAUGGUAAUAAAGAGGAAUACAUUUUGGAAGCAGAAAAUAAAAAACUACUUGAAGACCAGGAAAAACUGAAAACUGAAUUAAAGAAGACUUCAGAUGGUAACUUCGUGUGCAUGUGCAAAUGUGGAAAGACUAGCAUGCCCUUUCUAAGGCACAAAACGAUGUGAUGACAAUGAAGAUGCAAUCAGAAAGACUUUCAAAAGAAUACGACCGACUCCUGAAAGAACACUCAGAACUUCAGUCCAGAAGUCAAGUUCCCAACACUCGUCCACAUUGGGCUUUUCUUUCCCUCCCCUCUUCAACUGGCAGCCCAUAACCUGAAUUGAUUUCCAGCCACACUUUGACCAUGUCUGGGGAGAAGUGAGAGGGCACAGAGCACCCCUCAUUCCAAGGUGAGUAGGAAAUCAUUCCGGCAUCAGCCCUAACCCAUUCUCCCCAGGAUUGAGGGGGUGCUCUUCUUCUCUUAAGUUGGGCUGGUCCUUCUGGGCAGGCUCAGCCAAUGUGAGGCACUAGUAGAAGACUGUGGAAAGCCAGUGUAUUUCUUCUACUCUCUCUCUGCUUUGGGUAGUGGUCUGGUUUGCUAAUGCUGCCAUUAUGCAAAA